CGCGGUAGCAAUACUGAGUGGCAGACGGGUGAGUAACAUGUGGGAAUCUGCCUUGUGGUUCAGGACAACAUUGGGAAACCGAUGCUAAUACUGGAUAAGCCCUUACGGGGAAAGUUUUAAUGCCAUAAGAUGAGCCCGCAUUUGAUUAGUUAGUUGGUGAGGUAAUGGCUCACCAAGACAAUGAUCAAUAGCUGAUCUGAGAGGAUGAUCAGCCACACUGGGACUGAGACACGGCCCAGACUCCUACGGGAGGCAGCAGUGGGGAAUCUUGCACAAUGGAGGAAACUCUGAUGCAGCGAUGCCGCGUGAGUGAAGAAGGCCUUUGGGUUGUAAAGCUCUUUUGUAGGGGAAGAUAAUGACUGUACCCUAAGAAUAAGGUCCGGCUAACUUCGUGCCAGCAGCCGCGGUAAUACGAAGGGACCUAGCGUAGUUCGGAAUUACUGGGCGUAAAGCGCGCGUAGGCCGUUGAGUUAGUUAAUUGUGAAAUCC
rnacentral:rRNA from 1 species